UACGGGGUGAGGCGAGCGUUGUCCGGAAUUAUCGUGGCGUAAAGAGCUCGUAGGCGGCUUGUCGCGUCGAAUGUGAAAACUCAGGGCUUAACCCUGAGCCUGCUUCCGAUACGGGCAGACUAGAGGUAUGCAGGGGAGAAUGGAAUUCCUGGUGUAGCGGUGAAAUGCGCAGAUAUCAGGAGGAACACCAGUGGCGAAGGCGGUUCUCUGGGCAUUACCUGACGCUGAGGAGCGAAAGUGUGGGGAGCGAACAGG
rnacentral:rRNA from 1 species